GACUAGCAAUGCUAAUCAUCUCCCACCCUAACAUACACACCGCCAAGAUGCAGAGGAGUAAGGGAUUGGUGCUGCAGGGUUUGAAUGUGCAGGAAGCAGAAUUUAGUGUGCUAUGACAGGAAUCCAUGGGACAUAGUGCAAUGCUCAUGAUAUCUCCAUCUAUGUAAUUGCCAAGAGGCAAGAAGGCCUGGAACCUUGGGCAGAACUCAAUGGAACCUGGGACCAUAGUGCAGCAUCCUGAUGGGAUCCAUAGACCUCAAGCAUCUCAGGCUAUGGAGAAUGUAGCAGGUGAUGGUAAGCUCAGUACUCUACAAUAGCCACAUCAAGAUGCUUCAGAGCUAUACUCAGCAAACCUGUAUGGAAUCGGGUGGGAUAUCCUGCAAGAGUAACAAGAGGAUAAUAACUGUGUCGUUACUCUUCAACACAGCCUCCUGAAAGAAGCUCUCUGAAGAUGGACUGUGCUUUUUGUUCACUGAGUUUUCAAAAUGAGUAACUUUGGCAUGCACUGAAUAUAUGACUCAUUUUCUACUUCCUUUCAGUAUAUUUUCACUUCUAUUUGAAACAGCUUCUCACUAAUAUGCCAGGCUGACACUGAACUUGCUCUGUAACCCAGACAGCCUUUGAACUUGUGAUCUUCUUGCCUCAAACUCCUGAAUAGCUAAAAUUACAGACAGGAACAUACUGAUCUUAAUUCUUAAAUCAUGUCUAGUGGAUUGGGUUAAGUAAUUAAUUAAGGGAAAAUAUAAAAAUGAAUAAAAUGUGAAGGCAAUAGUAUAAGAUGUGAUUAUACCAAUUAAUCAAUGCUUUAAAAGCAAACACAAUAACUAUAAAUGGAACUUAAAUUAGCAGUUGAAAUACAGAGAAUUUCAAAAUGAGCCAACACAAAUUAUUAACUCUAUGCAUUAAUGAAUUAUUGAGCUAAUUAGGAAUGUGGAACAACUUUAGGAAAUACGUGAAGAUUUAAUAUAUAAUGCUAGUCAAAAUAUAGUAGAACUGUAUUACAACAACAAAUAUUAUGGUUAAAAUGUUCUUGCAAAUAUCAUUACAUUUUAAUUAUUUUUAAAUGUACCAAUUCAUAAAAUGGUUUAAUAUAGAACUUGUACAAAUCCAGCAAUAAUCUGAAAAUACAAACAAAAAUAAAAUUUGACAGAUCCACAUUCAUACUCGGAUAUAUAAAUACAUUUCUACUAUGAAUUUAUUUCUUAUUCAGAGAAGUAACAAAAGAAAACAAACAAAGAAACAAAUUAGGACAAGAAAAAUUUGAGUUUCCUAUUUAUCUAGCUAAUUCAAUGACAUGGAAACUCUACUAAGAAAAAAAUAGACAUAUGGGCAUCAUUACAUUAAAGGUAUUCUAUAAUUAUCUGUAAUUCUAUGAAAUCAAGACCAGCUUUCUGAAAGAUUUGAAAGUUUUAAUACACAUUGUAAAGUAUAUCAUGGUAAUGUGAAAAAUCAAAACCAAAUUGUAGCACACUCAGAAAUAAAGAAUGCUGCUGAAGUCAUAUAGAAACAAAAGGGCGAAACCUGAGGAGAAAGACAAUCUAAGCUGUUCUCUAACACCAGAAGUUGGUGAACACAUACUAGAAUGAGCUCAAAGCAAAUCAAAAGACAAUUAUGAAAACUAAUUAAAGUAUGAAAGGUAAGGGAAUGCUAGGUAAAGAAUAAUCAGCUAAAGAAAAAGUUUCUACUCCAUCCCCCGUGCCUGCAUUUCUUGUCAACAGGAUAAAUUUUGGGUCAAAAGUUUUUUGAGUGGGUUGGUGUCUCUCUCGUUCUUCUGGAGUUCCUAACUGGCUAUAGGAGGUGGUAUCUUCUGGUUUCAUAUCUCCAAUGCUAUGAGUCACCUCCACUGAUUCUUGGGCACCGCCCUUAAAUUUAUCCUGUCAAUAAGAAAUACAGGGAAAGGAGAUGGAGCAGAGACUGAGGAAAUGGUCAAGUAAUAACCGGCCCAACUCGAUAUUCAUCCCAUGGGCAAGAACUAAUCCCUGACACUAUUAAUGAUACUCUGUUAUGCUUGCAGACAGGAGCCUAGCAUGCUGUCCUAUGAGAGGCUCCACCCAGCAGCUGCCUCAGAUGAAAUUAGAAACUCACAAAAAAAAUAGUGGAUAGAGCUUGGGGACUCUUAUGGAAGGACAGGAAGAAGCAUUGAGGCACUAGGAACUCCACAGGAUGACCAAAAGAAUAAAUUAACCUGGACCCUUGGGGCUCUCAGAGACUGACCCAACAAACCAAAUCCGUGUCUUUAAUACAAUGCCUUGCCUAGCUUCAGUCCAUUCUCGUCUCCUUUUACCCUCAAUAAGCAUGCUCAAGUCUCGGUUUCUUUAUCCUAAAGUUUGCCACAACAAAAUUCUAUCUGAAAUUAUGAAAUACAUUAUAUGGGAUCAAGCACUCGAAGAUAAAGUCUUAUUCAGUAGAUGAAAGAACGCCUAGAGGUAAAAACUGCUAUCCAGGUAGUGCCCUGACAACAGACCAAGGAAACAGUGCUACCCAAGUCUAGUGUGAUGAGCCAACAAGGCUGUUGAGGCUACUCCCAAGAACAUGGCUGACCCAGAGGCAGCUGAACCACUGAAGAGCCCACCCCAACAUGGGUGAUGGCUCAAGGGAGCUGCAUCUUGGAUCCCCACACAGCUUCAUAGAAUUCUACAAAAGUGUCUUUUCUCUCCUGGCAACUAUAUACUAUUUACAUAACUUAAAGGACAGACUUCCUGAAUCCUGUAACUUUUUUGAGCUUCCCAAGUCUCACAAAUGCUCUUAGUUUCCAUGGUGCUAGGAGCCUCUCUUCUUCCUCCCAGGAAGAAGUACUUAUUCAAGGGAAGCAGCUACAAAGGAGCAUAUAGGCACAGGUUCCCAUUAACUCCAUGGAAUGACGAUAGGAAUAACUAAAUGAUGACUGCAAGCUAUUUUGUAAUUACAAACUGCUAAAUAAUAAAGGUUGACUAAUUAUC
rnacentral:lncRNA from 1 species